GAUAAACGCUAGCGGCAGGCAUAACACAUGCAAGUCGAGGGGCAGCAUAGAUUGUAGCAAUACAAUUGGUGGCGACCGGCGCACGGGUGCGUAACGCGUAUGCAACCUACCCGUCACAGGGGGAUAAUCCGGAGAAAUCUGGUCUAGUACCCCAUAACAUAUGGAUCGGCAUCGGUUCAUGUUGAAAUUUUCGGAGGUGACGGAUGGGCAUGCGUAGCAUUAGCUUGUUGGUGAGGUAACGGCUCACCAAGGCGACGAUGCUUAGGGGGACUGAGAGGUUUUCCCCCCACACUGGUACUGAGACACGGACCAGACUCCUACGGGAGGCAGCAGUGAGGAGUAUUGGUCAAUGGGCGCAAGCCUGAACCAGCCAUGCCGCGUGCAGGAUGACGGCUCUAUGAGUUGUAAACUGCUUUUGUACGAGGGUAAAGUGGGUUACGUGUAACCUUUUGAAAGUAUCGUACGAGUAAGGAUCGGCUAACUCCGUGCCAGCCGCCGCAGUAA
rnacentral:rRNA from 1 species